CUCAAGAAGAACAUAAUCUAUUUCAUUCUAAUGCCGGACAUUUACACAUUAAAUAUAAGAUUCCAUAUAAACAAGCAAAACAAAUUAUUAAAAAUUGCCCAGUUUGUUGACCUUUACAUCUUAGGAUUGUACCUUCCGGAGUAAAUCCUAGAGGGAUUCAACCUAAUGAAUUAUGGCAAAUGGAUGUUACACAUGUUCCCUUGUUUGGACGUUAUUCUUGUGUUCAUGUUACUAUUGACACAUACUCUAAAUUUUUGUGGGCUACGGCUCAAAUUGGAGAAACCACCCAUCAUGUUAUUCAACACUUAGUGGAAACAUUUGCUAUUAUGGGAAUUCCCACUAUGAUUAAAACUGAUAAUGGUCCGGCUUAUACUAGUAAAAAUUUUAAAGAUUUUUGCAAAUUAUAUGAUAUUGUUCAUCUAACCGGAAUAGAAUAUAAUCCACAAGGACAAGCUUUAGUAGAACGUGUACAUGCUACGCUUAAAACACAAAUUAAAAAAUUAAAAAGGAGGAAAAUGACAGAUUUAAAUAUGCAUUUGUUUAGACAUUUACAAAAUCAACCUAAAGCAUUGUUACAUCAAGCCUUAUUUAUUUUAAAUUUUCUUAAUCUUCCACAAGGAGAAAUAUUGACAAGAGCAGAAUGACAUUUUGAGCAAAAAACCUUAGAAACAAUUCAUGAACCAAUUUGGAUAAAAAUUGCGGCAGAUGCUGAAUGGCAGCCAGGGAUUUUACUUUAUAGAGGAAAGGGCUAUGCUUAUGUUUCAACAGAAAAUGGACACCGGCAGUGGCUCCCAGGGCAGUGGAUCCAGACCCGUCACAAUCAGAACAGCACCAAGGGGGGCACCCUAUCCAUUACCCCAGCCAAGGAAUCAAGAUCCUGAGCUUGAUGUUUCGGUGGCAGCAAUGGCGCGUCUUCAUCUUGGGGCCCGACGUCAUCGACGUCCUAAUUUUUCUCCCUUACCUACGUGGGGUCAAAUUAAAAAGCUGAGUGGGGAAGGGCAGAAGGUGCUGCAACGAACAGGGAAGAGUUGCACCCCAGAAAAUUUAUUUCUGGCUAUGUGUGUAUUAUUGACAGUGUCUUCCGCUUCUGAGGUACAAAAUAAUAAUACUCACUAUUGGGCCUAUAUUCCCAAUCCACCUUUGCUGGAACCUGUUACUUGGGGUGACAUGGAUAUUACCUUAUAUACUUCUCCUGCUCUUUUAUCUCCCCCUUGGAACAAUUUAACAUAUAUGAAUAUUAAUGAUGGAACACCAUUUAAUUUUACUUAUAAGAAUAAUAACAGUAAACCUAUAUGCUUGGGCGUUCCUCCUUGCUUACAAUUAGAUUGGCAACAUUGGAUACUAGUUGGAAAUUGGAGUAAUAGUUCUCGAACACGUUUACAACGGUUAUCUGCAUGGUCCGUCAAUAUGACCUGGGAUAAUAUAACUGAACAAAAAUACCCUAUGUUCCCUGAGUGCCCCGAUUUUACUUAUCAGGACUUGAGAUACUCCCCUUUCAUAUGGCAGGAAUGUUUAGGCAAAUUUGGGAAGAUAUUUCAGAAUAUUAUCAUGUGGGGUCCUUACGGGAUGUUCUUAAAAAAUUGUUCAAAAUAGAAUAUUAGUGCUUGUGAUUUAUCUUCUACAUACAGAAUCCCGCCGAAAGAGAGAUGGAAUGAAACCAUUCGGAACAACAAAUUGAUGGCCUGGGGUGAUAGCGGAAUUGCUGAUCCACGCUUGGCUUCAGUGCAGUACCCUCAUCAUUUACAAACACAUUUAUGGAAAAUUGCUGCUGCAACUAAACCUGUAAUUUUGUCUAAUGGCUCUUUUUCUGGGACUAGUCAAUCUGCUGCUUCUUAUAAUUUUACUGUAUUUAAAGAAUAUAAUAUAACCACAUGUGUGCCCAUGCCAUACCUGUUCUUAAUUGGAAAUGUUACUUUUGAUGAGGGAACUUUAUGCUUUAAUUGUAAAUUGUAUUAAUACAUCUGUUUCUAUUCCUUCUGGUUAUUCCAUUGUGCUGUUACAACAGCGCUCUCACAUUUGGCUUCCUGUAAAUUUACAAAGACCAUGGUCCCAAGAUCCUGUAAAUACUUUGGUUCUGGAAUUUUUUAGACAAUUGUUAAAACGUACUAAACGGUUUGUGGGAGUUGUUGUUGCUGUAAUUCUAAGUCUUAUUGCAGUGACUACAGUUGCUACAGUUUCAGGGAUAGCUUUACAUACUUCUUUACAAACAAAACAUUUUGUUGAGGAAUGGCAUAAAGAUUCGCAUGAGUUAUGGCUAUCCCAGACUCAAAUUGAUUCUAGACUUCAAACUCAAAUAGAUAUUUUAAGACAGACAGUUAAUUGGUUAGGAAAAAAGAUACUCACCUUAGAACAAGAAAUUAGAUUAAAAUGUGACUGGAAUUCAACUUCUUUCUGUAUAACUAAUAUACAAUAUAAUCAAAGCUUACACGAAUGGAGUAUCAUACAAAAUUAUCUCGAUGGUAAUGAAACAGCUCAAUUAAUGAUCGAUUCUUUACAAAAGGAUAUAUUUGAAAUUUUUGGAAAAGGGUUUCAACAUGAUGAUGCUGCACAAAUAGCUGAAUUGUUUUUAAAACAGAGGGAUUAGAUCCCAAAGGAAUUGCUCAAAGUCUUACCCAUACGGCUGGAGGAAUGGGAAUAGUGUUAUGCUUAGUUAUUAUCCUGUUUAUAAUUAUAUAUUGCAUGUGCAUAAGACCAUCUCAAAACUCUAUAUUAACUUUGUGGAAAGCUGUUUUAGAAAAACGAAAGAAAAAAGAAGAAAUUGUUGGGGUUUAAGUGUGCAGAGUUUAGCUCCCUCAGGCCUGACUUUUUGCAAGAGCUGUGGCUGUGAUUUAGGUUAGCUGAGGCAAACCUCAGCUAGAAGGAGGAAACGUUCUCUUCCCCUUAUCGCAAGGCACAAGUUCUGCAUGGUUUGGCCAAGAGGAAGAAGCUUCCUGCAUACUUAUCCUGGGAACAGUACAUUCUAAAGAAACAAAUGCAUCCUCAGGGGACUAGAUAAUGUCUACAAAGAACUUUAGGAGGGUACUUAUCAAACAAACAGGAACAAUCUGAAUCUAGCUCUGUGUAUCUGCUGAGGCAUGAUAUUUGGGCAAUGUGGGCAACGUGAUAUUAAAAAAUUGCUUGCUUUGUUAGAAGAAGUGUAUAAAAGGAACUUGCAAAUAAACCUCAGCAUGCAGUAGCAAUUGCUGCCUUGGC
rnacentral:lncRNA from 1 species